rnacentral:rRNA from 1 species
UACAAUGGAGAGAUUGAUCCUGGCUCAGGAUGAACGCUAGCGGGAGGCCUAACACAUGCAAGCCGAGCGGUAUAGAUUCUUCGGGAUCUAGAGAGCGGCGAACGGGUGCGGAACACGUGUGCAACCUGCCCUUAUCAGG